UGGGCAACCUGCCCCUCUCUCUGGGAUAACCCCGGGAAACCGGAGCUAAUACCGGAUACUCCGGCUGGAUCGCAUGGUCCGGCCGGGAAAGGUCCGCCGGAGAGGGAUGGGCCCGCGGCCUAUCAGCUUGUUGGUGGGGUCAUGGCUCACCAAGGCGAUGACGGGUAGCUGGUCUGAGAGGACGACCAGCCACACUGGAACUGAGACACGGUCCAGACUCCUACGGGAGGCA
rnacentral:rRNA from 1 species